AAAAUAUACACUUCACUGAGUACUUCUUCUAACAACACCACCAGUAAUAUUGGCAGUACCAAUAGCAAUUCAAGAUGGCGAAGGGAGUAAGCUUCAGGGAAUGGUUUGGCAGCUGUGGUGUGUGGUGGCAUCCUGUAGCCACUUAAGAAAUCAAGAAGCCGCAUAUGGAACAAAAAUACUGGAAGGCGGGAUCAGAAGGGAACCCCAAGAAGCCCACAAAGUCAACCGAAACCUGAUCAUCUGAGACUCCCGAACACUGCCCUCAACACAGAUAAUGUUUUACAUGAGUCCUGUACUCCAUAUUUAUUCUGUAAUUUGCCAUUAGCUACUAAAUUAUUUUCUGUUGCUGUGUAUCAUAAAAUGAUCAAUGAUUGCCCUGUUGACCUUGGGAUAGCUGACAGUACUGCCCCAGACAUUCCGAUGGGCAGAGAAUAGUUGUAGACAGGAGAAAUGCAGAAGACCGUGCUGAGACAACUGACUCCGUGGAAACUUCCCAGGAAAAUUAAGCUUCCAAUGUGGAAUCCUACAGGAUCUGGAAACCUCUGAAACAGCCCCUUCAACUUGUCGAAUUCAGGGGUUUUCUACUCAUUUAAUAUUCAUAGUUACCCAGGGAAAGUAAAAGGAUUAAAAACCAACUCCAGCUCCUUGCUAAAUGUUAAACUGUACCCAUGACUCAUCACAAGUACUCUCCCUGUCCAAUCUAUACCCUUGAAUACCACUGACGUUUCCACACCCAUCAUCCCCCCCCGAACAGCAAGCCCCUCGCCUGCCAGAUGAGGUAACCAUACUCCACUGGGUCCAAUAACACCUCUCCUGACAUGCCCCUGCACUCAUCCACAAUUUUACACACAGCUCCCUGGCAGACACCACUUGCCCCUUUUCGCCUUCCCCCUCCCUCUGACCCAACACAGACCCAAUCUACACUCCCGAUCGCCACGACUUGCCCAACACAACACGCUCUUCCUCCCAGGCCCAACACUAUAUACUAAUCCAAACUGCCCACUUAACCCUGAUCUGACCCAACACCGCUCAGGUGACCUGACCUAACAACCUCCCUAUACAGUUGGCAUCACGUGCCCCCCCCAUCGCCCCCACCAAACUGAGUCCAAUGGACAACCUUCUUGAACUGGCCCAAAUCAACACCCUCAGCCUGUGACCCAACUCAGACCAAGACACUCCCUUGUCUGAUCUGAUACCCCCUGUGAUGACUCUGAUUUGGCAACUCCCCCUUGAAAUGACAACAUCAUCACCCACUCCUCACAUCACCCCAAUUUUCAAUCCUAUCAGGGUCAGAAAUAGGGUCCUGAUGGGAAUCCUGGGGUUUGUAUCGUUUUGAGGUUACAACAGAAGGUCACUGGAGUUGUAUCAAUAGUUGCAAAUGAUUUCCAGGAUUGUGACAAGGUUUGGGGCCACCAAUCAGAUGUUUGAAAGCCAUUUUUGUUUAUCUUAAGAAACAAAUUAGGAGAAAUUCCACAAAGUCUUGCGGAAAAUUAGAUUAGAUAAACAGUGCACUAUGAUUAAAAGACUCAAUAAACUCUGUCUAAUAAUUAGAAUAA